AACGGAUUAUUCUUUAUAGCUUGCUACGAAGGUAAUUAGUGGCGGACGGGUGAGUAAUGCAUAGGAAUCUACCUAGUAGUAUGGGAUAGCCACUAGAAAUGGUGGGUAAUACUGUAUAAUCCCUGCGGGGGAAAGAUUUAUCGCUAUUAGAUGAGCCUAUGUUAGAUUAGCUAGUUGGUAGGGUAAUGGCCUACCAAGGCAGUGAUCUAUAGCUGGUCUGAGAGGAUGAUCAGCCACACUGGAGCUGAGAUACGGUCCAGACUCCUACGGGAGGCAGCAGUGGGGAAUAUUGGACAAUGGGCGCAAGCCUGAUCCAGCUAUGCCGCGUGAGUGAGGAAGGCCUUAGGGUUGUAAAACUCUUUCAGUAGGGAAGAUAAUGACGGUACCUACAGAAGAAGUCCCGGCAAACUCCGUGCCAGCAGCCGCGGUAAUACGGAGGGGGCAAGCGUUGUUCGGAAUUAUUGGGCGUAAAGGGCAUGUAGGCGGUUUGGUAAGUUAAAGGUGAAAUACCAGGGCUUAACCCUGGAGCUGCUUUUAAUACUGCC
rnacentral:rRNA from 1 species